CGCGAAAAAUAUAUUCAUUAAUCAUGCUUUGGCACCAAUGUCGGUGGAGUCUAGUGGUGAGUAUCUCCGCCUGUCACGCGGAGGACCCGGGUUCGAUCCUCGGUGUAGUGGAAAAUUGCUCCUGUUUUGGCGGAGUAUCUCCGCGGAGGACCCGGGUUCGAUCCUCGGUCAAGUGAAAAGUUUUUGUUAAUAGAUGAAUGGAUCUCAUCCUCUGGAUUGCUGCGGACCACCAAACAAAGAAUUGACAAGGAGCCAGCGGUCGCAACUGCAAACAAAGCCUCUUCCACUGGAAUAUAGAAACAUGCCCAACCGCGGACAAAGGCUUUUCCACGGGAAUAAAAGCUGCGCAUUGGAACAAGUAGCGGCGAAGAUGAUAGAAAACUUACCAGAAUUUUGCAAGCUGGCAAUUGCUUCCAAAAGAACCGCUUAACUUAAAUCGCCCAAAAGAGAGCUCUCUCUUGCUUUUGCGUUUCCUCCUAAGAAAACGAAAGGUUGAAAGCUUUCCAAGGGUCAAAGUUUCGCACCAAGCAAUAUAGAUAUCGAAGGUACCUGCGAUUCCUUUCUUAUGCUUUAAAAGUCGUGCGCGCUAACUCUUGCGAAGGAAGGAAUCAGUUCCGCAGCAGCAAUCCGACAAGUCGCUUGGAAGUCAUGAGGUGCGCCAACUGAUUGAGCUGGUCCGCGGGCCAAGGAAGUAAUCGUCCAAGCCGAUCCUGACGCAAAGGCCAAGACUGUAGAUGGCGAUGACGAUUGCUCGCCAGCAACGCCUACAGGAAGAAUGGGAGUUACUUUGAAGGAAAACAAGGAGAAAUGACGAAGGAAAGACUUAUCUUGACAACGAAACCAAAGGUACCUCUGCUUCUCAAAAAAUUCUCUUU
rnacentral:lncRNA from 1 species